rnacentral:tRNA from 1 species
AAUUCCCCGAGACCUUCCGCCGCGCCGACGGCGCGCCCGCGCCCGUCGCUGUCCUCACCACCGGGCGCCGCUCC